rnacentral:rRNA from 1 species
UAGGGAAUCUUCGGCAAUGGGGGCAACCCUGACCGAGCAACGCCGCGUGAGUGAAGAAGGUUUUCGGAUCGUAAAACUCUGUUGUAAGAGAAGAACGUGUGUGAGAGUGGAAAGUUCACACAGUGACGGUAACUUACCAGAAAGGGACGGCUAACUACGUGCCAG